rnacentral:lncRNA from 1 species
UAAAAUGGUAAUUCUAUAAAUCGAGGGUAAAACGGUAAUUCUGUAAAUCGAGAGUACUUUGGUAAUUUUACAAAUUAAGGUCAUUUUAGUAAUUUGGUAAACUAAAGUAUUCUAAAUAGGGAUAACAAUACGAAUGGGCCUAAAGCCUAUUCUCGGCCUAAAUGGACCCACACGUUCGUGUAGCCCUUUUAGCCCAAAUCUAACCACAAAUAUGAGAUUCACCUAGCC